rnacentral:rRNA from 1 species
GAUGAACGCUAGCUACAGGCUUAACACAUGCAAGUCGAGGGGCAGCAUGGUCUUAGCUUGCUAAGACUGAUGGCGACCGGCGCACGGGUGAGUAACACGUAUCCAACCUGCCGUCUACUCUUGGACAGCCUUCUGAAAGGAAGAUUAAUACAAGAUGGCAUCAUGAGUCCGCAUGUUCACAUGAUUAAAGGUAUUCCGGUAGACGAUGGGGAUGCGUUCCAUUAGAUAGUAGGCGGGGUAACGGCCCACCUAGUCUUCGAUGGAUAGGGGUUCUGAGAGGAAGGUCCCCCCACAUUGGAACUGAGACACGGUCCAAACUCCUACGGGAGCAGCAGUGAGGAAUAUUGGUCAAUGGACGAGAGUCUGAACCAGCCAAGUAGCGUGCAGGAUGACGGCCCUAUGGUUGUAAACUGCUUUAUAAGGUAAUAAAGUGGAGUCGUGACUCUUUUUGCGUAUGUACCUUAUGAAUAAGG